rnacentral:rRNA from 1 species
CGUGUAGGCGGUGCGGUAAGUUGGGCGUGAAAUCCCCGAGCUUAACUCGGGUGGGCCGUUCAAGACUGCCGUGCUAGGGUGCGGGAGAGGGAAGUGGAAUUUCCGGUGUAGCGGUGAAAUGCGUAGAUAUCGGGAGGAACACCUGCGGCGAAGGCGGCUUCCUGGACCGUAACCGACGCUGAGGCGCGAAAGCUAGGGGAGCAAACAGGAUUAGAUACUCUGGUAGUCCUAGCCCUAAACGAUGAGCACUGGGUGUGGCCCCUCACGAGGCCGUGCCGAAGCUAACGCAUUAAGUGCUCCGCCUGGGGAGUACGGUCGCAAGGCUGAA